rnacentral:rRNA from 1 species
ACUUGGUGGCGACCGGCGCACGGGUGCGUAACGCGUAUGCAACCUACCUUUAACAGGGGCAUAACACUGAGAAAUUGGUACUAAUUCCCCAUAACAUUCGAGAAGGCAUCUUCUUGGGUUAAAAACUCCGGUGGUUAAAGAUGGGCAUGCGUUGUAUUAGCUAGUUGGUGAGGUAACGGCUCACCAAGGCAACGAUACAUAGGGGGACUGAGAGGUUAACCCCCCACAUUGGUACUGAGACACGGACCAA